CAGGUGUAGCGAUAGCAAAGUGUUCACAAAGCAUGUAAGAAGUCAUGCAUACCACGAACUACAAAAUAAUGCAAAAAUUUAGAUUGAUCAUGAAAUUAUUUUUUGAAUAGCUUCUUAAGAUAAAAUCCUUUUUUCCUUCCUAAAGAAAAUACGAAAUUGUAAGAAAUAGGAAUUCCAUAAACAGCAGAAAAACAUAAAUUUGAUCAAGAAUCUGCAAG
rnacentral:lncRNA from 1 species